ensembl:snoRNA U3 Small nucleolar RNA U3
AAGACCCAUCUAUACUUUCAGGGAUCAUUUCUAUAGUUCGUACAAGCGAAGAUUCUCUGAUCAUGUAGAGCACCGAAAACCACGUGGAGGAGGCACAGCAUUCUCUCCUGAGUGUGAAGCAGGCUCCUGGUGCUGCUUUAUUGCAGCUGCCAUUUGCCUUUGAUGAUCGUUCUUCUCUGCCCUUGUGCAGAGGGAGAGGGAGAGAAUGUAGUCUGAGUGG